CUGUAAGUGGUGUGAAAGGGUUUUCCCGGCAUCCAUCUCUGACCUUGAUAAGUCACUCUGUGAGGAAAACCCAGAUUAUAAUUUCAAAAUCGUUACGUUUACUCAACAAGAGUAAAUAAAAAGGAUGCCACGGUCUCAACACUCCAGAAGCUCAAUUCACUCCAGACGGACAGUUCACUAGAGACUUGUGUGCAGAGACGAGGACUCGUGAAAACAUGAAGACUGUGAUUCUUGCUCUUUGUGUAAUGCUGGUUCUCAGCCAUGGUGAAGCUUUGAGGUGUUACUGUGGAGGUGCACGAAUAUGUCGCAACAGUGUGGAGACCUGCAGAGGUGAAGACGACGUCUGUUCCCGUGGCAACAUUAUGACAGGCAAAUAUUACAUGGGCUGCAUGGAUAGAAGAGCCUGCUACCGAUUGGAGCAACACAGUGCAUCAAUUUCCAUUUGCUGUAUCAGAGAUUUGUGCAACAGAUAAAAUGAACAUCAUCUUUAUGACAGAUCUUCUGAUCAAUUCAUAUCAUCCGCUGUCAUGUAGUGUUCAUUCCGGUUUUCUCUGGACUGAUCUGUUCAACUGAUAAACAAAUGUCAUGCAACACAUUUGCCAUUGACUGUAUAAUUUGUGACUUUUGUGUGUUGUGAACUUUUGCAUUGUCAUAUUAAAGAACACUAAGUUGCAAA